rnacentral:rRNA from 1 species
GACGAACGCUGGCGGCGUGCCUAAUACAUGCAAGUUGAGCGCUGAAGGUUGGUACUUGUACCGUCUGGAUGAGCAGCGCACGGGUGAGUAACGCGUGGGGAAUCUGCCUUUGAUCGGGGGACAACAUUUGGAAACGAAUGCUAAUACCGCAUAAAAACUUUAAACACAAGUUUUAAGGUUGAAAGAUGCAAUUGCAUCACUCAAAGAUGAUUCCGCGUUGUAUUAGCUAGUUGGUGAGGUAAAGGCUCACCAAGGCGAUGAUACAUAGCCGACCUGAGAGGGUGGUCGGCCACAUUGGGACUGAGACACGGCCCAAACUCCUACGGGAGGCAGCAGUAGGGAAACUUCGGGAAUGGGCGAAAGUCUGACCGAACAACGCCGCGGGGGUGAAGAAGGUUGUCGGGUCGUAAAACUCUGUUGGUAGGGAAGAACGUUGGUGAGAGUGGAAGGCUCAUCAAGUGACGGUAACUACCCAGAAAGGGACGGCUAACUACGUG